AUCUCGUUUAAAGAAAACCGGCAAGCGAGAUUGUGGAGGACCCCUGGCUCAUGGAGUGAGUAUUGUGGCAUUGGUGCCUUUGAUUUCUGUCACUUCUCCAUCAAUCCAUGCGAGUUCUGGAUCCUCGACCCAGACAUGUGACCCGAGUGUGAUAUUUACAGGAGUCCCCUAACAUUGUUCAUCAAAGCAAGAUUUUCAGUAGUCAUAUUCAGAUGAGAUGAUAGGAUAAAGCAACAUAAAAUUAAUGGGAAGGCUUACCAUAACUCAAGCUCUUAAGCUGACUAUCUGCAGCAGUUGAAGAACAGAGAGAUCGAAAGAGAAGGUAAUAUAGAAAGAGAGAAUUGAGCUCUUUGAGAGAGAGAAAAAGAGAGAGAGAUGAAUCAUAAAUAAGAAAAAGGUGACUAUGAAUCCAAGAAAAUGCAGGAGAUUCUUAGCUAAGAAAGUGCCCUUUUCCCUCACCUCUGGGUUCCACCGAGUCUCUUAACUGUUUCUACAGAUUUUAAAGCUUAAGAUGCAGCAAAUCCACUGUUUUCAGAUAUUCUCUCUCGGGUCAUUUGCUUGAAAACCAUGCUUGAGCAUUCGAUCGGAAGCUGUUUGGUCUAAGAACAAUAAAGUGGCCUGCUUUACAUUUUGAUAUAGCAACUGCACCAACUUUUCUCUCGAUCGUCCAUGGCCAGCAGAGGCAAAGGCUCAAGGGACUUGUCAUGGUGCUUAAACUUGAAGUCAUCACCUUAAAAGCAAUGGCCGGUGGGGAAUCUCCGGCUGCGGCUGAAGCCGGUGUCCGAAGCUGGGCCAUUUGGAUUAACUUUUCCAACUAGACUUGGCUUUUUUUAGUUUUUGUUUUUCUUUUUAAUUAUGGUCUAAAGUUUUUAAUAUACUACAAGGUUAGAUAAUAUUCAGACCUGCAUCAUUGUUUGUCUAAUUUUCCAAAUUUCGCGAUCCAAGAACAUCAUGA